AUGUGGUAUGCUCCUAUAAUACCACGGUUGAAACGUUUGUUCCAAAACAAAGAGCAUGCCAAGGCGAUGCGAUGGCACAGAGAAGACCGUAAGAAAGACGGAAAGUUGAGAGUACCCGCUGACGGGUCGCAGUGGAGAAAAAUCGAAAGAAAGUACGGGAAGGAGUUUGCAGAUGACGCAAGGAGCGUAUGGUUUGGUCUAAGCGCAGAUGGCAUUAAUCCUUUUGGGGAGCAGAGCAGCAACCAUAGCACCUGGCCUGUGACUCUAUGUUUAUAUAACCUUCCUCCUUGGUUGUGCAUGAAGCGGAAGUUCAUUAUGAUGCCAGUGCUCAUCCAAGGCCCUAAGCAACCCGACAACGACAUUGAUGUGUACCUAAGGCCAUUAGUUGAAGAACUCUUACAACUGUGGAAUGGAACAGGUGUACGUGCGUGGGAUGAGCACAUGGGGAAAGAAUUUGACCUAAAGGCGUUGCUGUUCGUGACCAUCAAUGAUUGGCCUGCUCUCAGUAACCUUUCAGGACAGACAAACAAGGGAUACCGCGCAUGCACGCACUGUUUGGACGAUACCGACAGUAUGUAUUUGGCUAAUAAGAAUGUGUACCUGGGACAUCGUCGAUUUCUUCCGAGCAGGCAUCCCGUAAGAAAGAAAGGCAAGCAUUUCAAAGGUGAGGCGGAUCACCGAACGAAGCCUCGCCACCGUACUGGUGCUGAUGUACAUGAUAUGGUCAAGGAUUUGAAGGUGGUCUUUGGAAAGGGUCCUGGUGGACAACCUGUUCCGAAUGACGCUGACGGACACGCACCCAUGUGGAAGAAGAAAUCUAUAUUUUGGGACCUGCCCUAUUGGAAAGACCUCGAGGUCCGCUCCGCAAUCAACGUGAUGCACGUGACGAAGAAUCUUUGUGUGACCCUGCUUGGCUUCUUAGGCGUGUAUGGGAAGACAAAAGAUACACCUGAGGCACAGGAGGACCAGCAACGUAUGCACGGAAAAGACGGCAUACAUCAGGGUCAUGCAAGCUACGCUCUUACCAAAAAAGAGAAGGAAAUCUUCUUUGAAUGUCUGCUCAGUAUUAAGGUACCAUCUAGCUUCUCGUCGAAUAUAAAGGGAAUAAUAAACAUGGCAGAGAAAAAGUUCCAGAACCUAAAGUCUCAUGACUGCCACGUGAUUAUGACGCAACUGCUUCCGGUUGCAUUGAGGGGGCUUCUACCGGAAAACGUUUGA
rnacentral:rRNA from 1 species